rnacentral:rRNA from 1 species
GUGGGGAAUCUUGCGCAAUGGGCGAAAGCCUGACGCAGCCAUGCCGCGUGAAUGAUGAAGGUCUUAGGAUUGUAAAAUUCUUUCACCGGGGACGAUAAUGACGGUACCCGGAGAAGAAGCUCCGGCUAACUUCGUGCCAGCAGCCGCGGUAAUACGAAGGGGGCUAGCGUUGCUCGGAAUUACUGGGCGUAAAGGGCGCGUAGGCGGACAGCUUAGUCAGAGGUGAAAGCCCAGGGCUCAACCUUGGAAUUGCCUUUGAUACUGGCUGUCUUGAGUUUGGGAGAGGUGAGUGGAACUCCGAGUGUAGAGGUGAAAUUCGUAGAUAUUCGGAAGAACACCAGUGGCGAAGGCGACCACCUGGACUGAUACUGACACUGAGGUGCGAAAGCGUGGGGAGCAAACAGGAUUAGAAACCCGGGUAGUCC